rnacentral:rRNA from 1 species
CCUACGGGAGGCAGCAGUGGGGAAUCUUGCGCAAUGGGCGAAAGCCUGACGCAGCCAUGCCGCGUGAAUGAUGAAGGUCUUAGGAUUGUAAAAUUCUUUCACCGGGGACGAUAAUGACGGUACCCGGAGAAGAAGCCCCGGCUAACUUCGUGCCAGCAGCCGCGGUAAUACGAAGGGGGCUAGCGUUGCUCGGAAUUACUGGGCGUAAAGGGAGCGUAGGCGGAUAGUUUAGUCAGAGGUGAAAGCCCAGGGCUCAACCUUGGAAUUGCCCUUGAUACUGGCUAUCUUGAGUACGGAAGAGGUAUGUGGAACUCCGAGUGUAGAGGUGAAAUUCGUAGAUAUUCGGAAGAACACCAGUGGCGAAGGCGACAUACUGGUCCGUUACUGACGCUGAGGCUCGAAAGCGUGGGGAGCAAACAGGAUUAGAUACCCUGGUAGUCCACGCUGUAAACGAUGAGUGCUAGUUGUCGGCAUGCAUGCAUGUCGGUGACGCAGCUAACGCAUUAAGCACUCCGCCUGGGGAGUACGGUCGCAAGAUUAAAACUCAAAUGAAUUGACGG